UACGAAGGGAGCUAGCGUUGUUCGGAAUUACUGGGCGUAAAGGGCGCGUAGGCGGGUUUCCAAGUCGGGGGUGAAAUUCCAGGGCUCAACCCUGGGACGGCCUUCGAUACUGGGAGCCUGGAGAUCGGGAGAGGUGAGUGGAAUUUACGGUGUAGCGGUGAAAUGCGUAGAUAUCGUAAGGAAGACCAGUGGCGAAGGCGGGUCUCUGGACAGUUCCUGACGCUGAGGCACGAAGGUCAGGGGAGCAAACGGG
rnacentral:rRNA from 1 species